rnacentral:rRNA from 2 species
UUAAGCAUAUCAAUAAGCGGAGGAAAAGAAACCAACAGGGAUUGCCCUAGUAACGGCGAGUGAAGCGGCAACAGCUCAAAUUUGAAAUCUGGCGCAAGCCCGAGUUGUAAUUUGUAGAGGAUGCUUCUGGGUAGCGACCGAUCUAAGUUCCUUGGAACAGGACGUCAUAGAGGGUGAGAAUCCCGUAUGUGACCGGCCCGCACCCUUUACGUAGCUCCUUCGACGAGUCGAGUUGUUUGGGAAUGCAGCUCUAAAUGGGAGGUAAAUUUCUUCUAAAGCUAAAUACCGGCCAGAGACCGAUAGCGCACAAGUAGAGUGAUCGAAAGAUGAAAAGUACUUUGGAAAGAGAGUUAAAAAGCACGUGAAAUUGUUGAAAGGGAAGCGCCUGCAACCAGACUUCGCGGCAGUGUUCCGCCGGUCUUCUGACCGGUUCAUUCUCUGUCGCGAGGCCAUCAUCGUCUGGGCCCGCCGGAUAAGACCUUAGGAAUGUAGCUCACCUUCGGGGGAGUGUUAUAGCCUAGGGUGAUGCGGCGAGGCUCGGGCGAGGUCCGCGCUUCGGCAAGGAUGAUGGCGUAAUGGUUGUCGGCGGCCCGUCUUGAAACACGGACCAAGGAGUCUAACAUCUAUGCGAGUGUUCGGGUGUCAAACCCCUACGCGUAAUGAAAGUGAACGGAGGUGGGAACCGCAAGGUGCACCAUCGACCGAUCCUGAUGUCCUCGGAUGGAUUUGAGUAAGAGCAUAGCUGUUGGGACCCGAAAGAUGGUGAACUAUGCCUGAAUAGGGUGAAGCCAGAGGAAACUCUGGUGGAGGCUCGCAGCGGUUCUGACGUGCAAAUCGAUCGUCAAAUUUGGGUAUAGGGGCGAAAGACUAAUCGAACCAUCUAGUAGCUGGUUCCUGCCGAAG